CGGGUGGGGCGGGGCUGGCGGGAGGUGAGGCCUGGGAGGAGAGGCCGCCGCUUGGAGAAAGCCUGCAGCUCCUGCGGGGAAGCGGCUCCCUUCUCGGGUGGAGGGUUCGGGUGAUCGUGGAGGCCUCAGCGCGAAGAGAGGCAGCGAGCAGAGGUCGGACGGUACCGACUCGUUUCUUGGAGACUCGAUGGUCUCUAUCCAAAUAAAGCGUCCGCUUGAAGACAUCGUGUUGCAGUGAUUUAAACACAGAUUAUUGCCGGGUUUCUCCUGAAGCAGGGUGUGAGGGACGUGGUAGUUCCCAGCGCCCCGGGUAACUCGGCGGGCAGUGGAAGAGGGCUGCAGGCAGGGCCAGGAGCAGGGACCUGGAGCCGAGAAGAGGGGGAAAGAGGAGAGCGGAUAUUGCAGGUGCCAUACCAACGGGCCAACCCAAACCGGCAGAGCCUCCACCCAGUCAACUUAAGGAAGUUCAAAGGGAGACAUGCACAGUGUAAAAUGCCUCUGCCUCUCCUCCCUUUAAAUGUUGGAGCUAAGAUGUGCUUGGAUGACCUGCAAAACCAGUUGCAAAUCUCACCUAGAGUGUAUAGUUAGCAAUGAGAGCUCAGAACUCUGCCUACUAUCCUUGGCAAACUCCAUUUGGUCUUACUGAUUUUUCCAACAUACCCUUUUAAAAAAUCCUUUCAUCCUAAUAAGUGUACUCUUUAAUGCCCAUCCUUUUAUUUCCGCCGUCUCCCAUCUACCUCCCCCAUCGUAACUAUCAGUUUGUUGUUCUCGGUAGUCAAAAGUGGGUUUCUUGGUUGGUCUCUUCCCCCCCCCCCCCCCCAACAUAUCUUUAUUGAGCAUCUAGUAGGGGGCCUGCCGUAAGGCACAACUGACAAAGAAGACUCACAAAACAGUUCAGCCUCAAGUUGUGCAGAGGAUUGAAUUUAUCACCAGCAGACACAUAAAAUCUUUCCUCACUCUUCCAGCUCCUUGUCUGUUCUGUAUGUUGUUGGACACACUGUUUCUGCCACAGACCAUUUUACAAAUUAGUUUUGCCUGAGGUUCCAGCUGGCAUUUAGAUAGUAAAGUAUAAACCCAGAAGAGAGUUUUCCAGUGGCCAGUUCAGUUCAGGGUGUUUUAUUUUCUCCCAAUUUUCUGCAUCAGAGCAGAUUCAUACUAGACUUAAUGGAUGAACAAAUUGAUCAGGGUUAUUUUUUCUGAGACAUUAGAGUCAUGGUACUUUGACUCCCAAGUAAAUUUUUUCAGAGAGUGACUCACUUAAAAUAAUAUUUCAACACCCUCCCCUUUUAAAAUUUGUCUUUGGUUUUCUGCUAGACGCGGCACCAGAAAUUUGACAGAAAUUAGGGGUGCCUGGCUGGCUCAGUCUGAAGAGCACAUAACUCUUGAUCUCCAGAAAACAGAGACACACAAAAUUGAAGUAACUCACUCAAGAGUCUUCAGUUAGUAAGAGGCAGCACUGGAAUCCAAACAAAGCCAGAUUCUGACAUGAUUUUAUUUAUUCAUUCAUGAGAGACACAGAGAGAAAGGCAGAGACACAGGCAGAGG